GACGAACGCNGGCGGCGUGCCUAAUACAUGCAAGUAGAACGCUGAAGGAGGAGCUUGCUCUUCUGGAUGAGUUGCGAACGGGUGAGUAACGCGUAGGUAACCUGCCUGGUAGCGGGGGAUAACUAUUGGAAACGAUAGCUAAUACCGCAUAAGAGUAGAUGUUGCAUGACAUUUGCUUAAAAGGUGCAAUUGCAUCACUACCAGAUGGACCUGCGUUGUAUUAGUUAGUUGGUGAGGUAACGGCUCACCAAGGCGACGAUACAUAGCCGACCUGAGAGGGUGAUCGGCCACACUGGGACUGAGACACGGCCCAGACUCCUACGGGAGGCAGCAGUAGGGAAUCUUCGGCAAUGGACGGAAGUCUGACCGAGCAACGCCGCGUGAGUGAAGAAGGUUUUCGGAUCGUAAAGCUCUGUUGUAAGAGAGGAACGAGUGUGAGAGUNGAAAGUUCACACU
rnacentral:rRNA from 1 species